rnacentral:rRNA from 1 species
UCACAGCAGUCAGGCGGCGAGUGAUAAAAUCCGUCGUCAAGAGGGAAACAACCCAGACUACCAGCUAAGGUCCCUAAAUCUUACUUAAGUGGAAAACGAUGUGAAGUUACUUAAACAACCAGGAGGUUGGCUUAGAAGCAGCCAUCCUUUAAAGAAAGCGUAAUAGCUCACUGGUCUAGUGAUUUUGCGCGGAAAAUAUAACGGGGCUAAAGUAAGUACCGAAGCUGUAGACUUAGUUUACUAAGUGGUAGGAGAGCGUUCUAUUUGCGUCGAAGGUAUACCGGUAAGGAGUGCUGGAGCGAAUAGAAGUGAGCAUGCA